rnacentral:rRNA from 1 species
GAUGAACGCUAGCGGCAGGCCUAACACAUGCAAGUCGAGGGAGAAGCCCUUCGGGGCAGAAACCGGCGCACGGGUGCGUAACGCGUAUGCAACCUACCUUUCACAGGGGGAUAGCCCGAAGAAAUUUGGAUUAAUACCCCAUAAUAUUAUUGGAUGGCAUCAUUUGAUAAUUAAAAUUACGAUGGUGAAAGAUGGGCAUGCGUCCUAUUAGCUAGUUGGAGUGGUAACGGCACCCCAAGGCUACGAUAGGUAGGGGUCCUGAGAGGGAGAUCCCCCACACUGGUACUGAGACAGGGACCAGACUCCUACGGGAGGCAGCAGUGAGGAAUAUUGGUCAAUGGUCGGAAGACUGAACCAGCCAUGCCGCGUGCAGGAAAGAAUGCCCUUAUGGGGUUGUAAAACUGCUUUUAUAUGGGAAG